rnacentral:rRNA from 1 species
GAUGAACGCUGGCGGUGUGGAUAAGGCAUGCAAGUCGAACGGGACUAAUCAUCGGAAGUAUGGAGCGAGGUCGAGUAGCAAUACAAGAACAAGCAAAGUAUGGAAGAUGACAGUCUAGUGGCAAACGAGGUAGUAAUAUUUUGGAAUCUCCCCCGAAGUCUCAAAUAGCCCGCCGAAAGGCGGAGUAAUAUGAGAUGGUCUCGCAAGAGUAAAGAUUCAUCGCUUCGGGAUGAGCCAGAACAGUAUCAGGUAGUUGGUAGGGUAAUGGCCUACCAAGCCUAUGACGCUUAGGAGAGCUGAGAGGCUGACCUCCACCGAUGGGACUGAGACACGGCCCAUACACCUACGGGUGGCUGCAGUCGAGAAUCUUCCGCAAUGGGCGAAAGCCUGACGGAGCGACACCGCGUGAUGGAUGAAGUGCUUCGGUAUGUAAACAUCUUUUAUGAGGGAAAAAGUUUAUUGAUGGUACCUCAUGAAUAAGGACCUGCCAAACUCGUG